rnacentral:misc_RNA from 1 species
UGGUUGUUGUGGGAGCACAUUUUCUACUGCGUUGUCUUGAUCUUGAGCGAUUUGUGCUCUAUGUUGUGAAGGAAUUUGAGCCAUUAAUACAAAAGCCCUAUACAAUAGUGUACUUCCACUCAGCAGCAUCUUUGCAGCCUCGGCCAGACAUGGGAUGGAUGAAGAGAUUGCAGCAGAUUCUUGGCCGAAAACACCAGCGUAACCUCCAUGCAAUAUACGUUCUUCACCCAACCUUUGGAUUGAAAGCUGCAGUAAUGGCCAUGCAAUUGCUCGUGGAUAAUACGGUAUGGAACAAAGUUGUGUACAUUGAUCG